AUUCCCGCGAUCGAAGAGCGAAUAAGACCAUUUUUCUUAUUUUCAAAGAGUCCCUUCUCCCUCACACCCCACUCGCUCACUUUAGCCUAAAACCAUAAAACAUUUCUCUAGUUUUUGCUACACUUCCAUCACAAGAACGUGAAGGGUUAAUUACAAUAUAUCUUUCAUCUCUUCACAAGAGAAAAAGGACGCUCCGCACCUCCGCCUCUGCUGUUCGUCAAAAAAGGCCAAAUGGCACCAAGAUGGAAAGGAAAAGAUGCAAAAUCGAAAAAGGAUGCAGAAGCUGAGGCACUUAAAGAACCCAUGUCAAAGAUUAUAUCACAACUUCACACUUCUUUAGUUCUAUCAAAUACUUGUGGAUUUCUCUGUGAUAACUCUGUACACUUAGCAGUGCAAGCAGAACAGCUUGACCUGCUCGAUAAAGCAUGCUUUGGUCGACCUGUGAGAUCAGUUGAAAAGGACAUGUACUGGUUUCAAUUAAGUUUAGAGGAAGCAUUCUACCUAUGUUAUUCCUUGAAGUGCCUCAAGAUUAAUGGUGGUAGUGAUACUGGCCCCUCAAAUGAUGAAGAAUUGUGGCAUUGCUUCAAGUCCAAGAAAGAAGCAUUCCCUUUUUUCUACAAGGCUUAUUCUCACCUUCGAAUGAAAAACUGGGUAGUGAGGUCAGGGGCUCAGUAUGGUGUAGACCUCAUUGUCUAUCGCCAUCAUCCGGCUCGGGUCCAUUCCGAGUAUGGUGUACUUGUUCUAUCACAUGAGAAUGUUGACGAUGAUAUAAAUGGAAGAUUGAGAGUAUGGUCUGAUGUUCAUUGCACAACAAGACUUCUUGGAAGUGUUGCAAAGACCUUAUUAGUCUUGUACAUUAAUAAAAAUGGUCACAGUGAUGAGUCUCCGUCGUGUUUGGAAAACUAUACCAUUGAAGAACGUACAAUCUCCAGAUGGAGUCCAGAACAAUGUCGUGAAAGAUCUAUUUAGACAUUUCAUUUUCCUAAUAUUAUCAUUCCCUUUCUGCAUGGUUUAAUUUCUGUUUCUUUUUGUUUUAGGAUCUAUAGAAUCUACACGACAGAAAAUACUCAACUUGUGCAUAAUAAAAUUUGAAGGUGGAUAAAUCAUCCAUAGUUAAUGUACAAUAUGAAUCCGUAACUAAGCAGUAACUAAAUAAUCCAUAGCUUAUCAAUAACUAAUUUUUUUAUGCAUACCAUGGUUGAACGUGGAAUAAAUGGAGUGCUGGGCCAACCUUGUAGCACCCCUAUUGAAUAAUUGAGUUCGAUAAAUGUGUUAUGCCAUUUGGAGACUAGUUCCAAACUCCAAUCAGCAAAUUCACACAACACAGCCGAGCUCUAAUAAGGUUGGUAAAAUAAAACCAAUCAAUGCUAUACUGAACAUGAGGAAAAUAAUAGGUUAUGCGAUAUCCAAUUGUCUAAACUAGACUAAAAUCUACAAGUUCCCAUUCAAUUAUUACUAGUGUGACUUCACAUGUAGUAGUAGCUAAAAUAUGAUCAGAGAACAUAAGACAGGAAAGCAGUAAAGAUUCUUGCUUAUUUUUCAUUCUUGAAGUUACAUAUUUGGUUUAUAAUGCCCCAUUAUCAUUUAAAAAAAGGAGAGACCGUGUCAUAACAGUACAUACCUCCACCUCCCCAAAAUACCCAGCAUCAUGCCUUACUCACAAGGGGAGAAUAAACACAGUUCCACAAUCAAUUUUGGUACCAUGUAACUCCAGAUGCAGCAAAUAUGACCGAAGCAAUGUGUCUGAUGAGAUCUGAGUCUCAUCAAGUUCUUAUUGACAUGGGCAGCAUUUGUCUAUCACAUCAGUUGGUUCUGUCAUUUAAAUCUACUCUCCAGACACAUACCACACUCGAACAGGCCAUUUUACUGAGUUUGACCCUAAAUAUUGUAUCGUUAAAUUUUAAGCUUCCUCUAAAGUCAUCUGUGUGGAACUGUAGAGGAUAAUAGGCCCUAUAAAUUUGAUUGUCUUCCAAGUAUUUCAAGUAUUAAUGCUCCAUAUGCACCUUUGCUCCCAAUCUUACUAGUAGUGGUCUCAGUGACUCGAUUGUAAUUUCAAUUGUUUGCAUUUUGUUGUAAAUACACGUUUCAUGUAAUUUUGUCCCUAGUCAGAAUAAUGUACAACAAGCUUCCUCAUUAUACCAUUUGUGGCAUUGUUGAAUGUUGACUCGGGCACCCUCACCAAGUUGUCCCGCAAAACUCUCCUAGCACUUGCAACAUUGUGGUGCCUAAUAAAGUACUUAAGAUUAUUGUUUUGUUUUUUAUUUAGACAAAGUAUGUACACGGCAUGCCUUCGAGUCCCUCUAUUAUUGAAUAUCAUAGUACCAUAUGCCUUAUCUUUCA